rnacentral:rRNA from 1 species
AUGUACAAAUGUUAUCGAUAAACAAUUGGAGGGCAAGUCUGGUGCCAGCAGCCGCGGUAAUUCCAGCUCCAAUAGCGUAUAUUAACGUUGUUGCAGUUAAAAAGCUCGUAGUUGAAUUGAAGUGAACUUGGGUUGAUGUGAUCUUCGGAUGACAUGAAUCAAAGUUGACUCUUUCCAAAGUCAAUACAUUGGUAUUCAUUUAUCUUUGUAUUGUGUUUGGUCAUUUACUGUGAGAAAAUUAGAGUGUUCAAAGCAGACGUUUGUUUGAAUACAUUAGCAUGGAAUAAUCAUAUAUGGCUUUCAUGUUGAUUUGAUUGGUUUGAAUAUGGAAGCAAGAUUAAAAGGGACAGUUGGGGGUAUUCAUAUUCAAUAGUCAGAGGUGAAAUUCUGGGAUUUAUGGAAGAUGAACAAGUGCGAAAGCAUUUACCAAGGAUGUUUUCAUUAAUCAAGAACGAAAGUUAGGGGAUCGAAGAGGAU